ensembl:lncRNA
AUUUUUGUCUGGGUUUUAAUUCUUUAAUAUUCUUUUACUGCUGUAAAUAAUUUCGCGGCAGUAAUUUGUGCUAUUUUCAGCACCAGUAAAAGUUGACGGCGGAAUUAAAAUAGUCUUUUUCACGAGGCUGACAAAAGUUCACGCGAGCAAAUAGUGCUUUUUAGGUCCGCGGAGGGGGCAGGAGGGGAGGGAGUGAGGCAGCCCUUAAUAAUCAUCUGAACGCAGGCUCGUUUUUGCUGAUAUUUCAGAGUGGUGUCUUUUGUUUUUUCCCCCCCUUUCCCUUCGUAUUUUGGAGUCUUUAAAUAAGCAGCACGGCAGAGCAGCCUGCACCGCACAGCGGUGUGGUUGUAUAACUCGUGUUUCACCUCAGCUGAACUUGACGCAUCUGGUUCAUCGGCGGCGCGAGUCGCACGGUGCAGUCUGCUGUGUGUCCCCACUGAACCGAGCUGGAUGGCCGGCCGAGAGAGACGCGGGGAAAGAAAGGGGGGGAAACGCAACACUUUCGUGGCAUAGAAGCGGGUCUCGGAGACCGAGUCUCGGGAUGACUCCUCCACAUCUCAGUCUGCAAAUAUCGUCCCUUUCUUGCUUUUUUUAUUUCCUGCUGUUUCGUGGCUCCAGACACAAAAAGGAAGACGAGUCACCGCGGGCUAAAGGAAAUAUAAAGCCGGCCGACUUGGACACGCCGGAGCAGACCAUCCAACUUGAACUUGAGACCAAUCGGUGCAGAGCAGCAUAUCGAGGAGGACGAGAACCCACAGGGCCUCAGACAUUGUAAAGCAGAGAGGAUAUGUGGACAUACUGUGUGCAGCCACGGAUGGGUCCAGCACAGCCGCUUCAUCCAGGAUAGCUCAUUGCUGUGGUGUGGGCCAGUCACUUCAAAGUCUCAGUGGAGUCAUUAUUUGGGAGUGACUUUAUUUUUCCGUGCCAGACAUUGAUAUCAAGUUUGUCAGCAUCGAGACGAGGAAACCUGAGAGGAGGCGAGUUGACAGACCGCACAGACCUGCUCAGGGAAGAUGACCUGCCAAGCUCAAGUGACACGCAGAGGAAGUGUUUUGAGUGUAUUUUGUUAUGUUUUUUAAUUACCACACAUUUCGCACAUUAAGCCUCUCCUUUAAAUGUAUAAAAAAAUAAGGAACCUCAUGAUCAGCUGGGGCCUUUCUGCAUGGAUGUCCUCCAUGUGGCUGUGUGGGUUUUUCUGGGUACUUUCCUCCCACAGUGCAUGUUAGGUUGGGUAAAUAGUGAUUAGAAAUGUGUCUGUGGGUGUGGAUGUGAUUGUGAGAUGUUGUGUGUCUGUGUGUGUUAAACCUCUGAUAGACUGGUGGCUGGGUCAGGGCUUAACAAGUUUAGAACAAAAAACAAUAACGGAUUGAAAAACACAUAGAAAUAAAAAUAUGUUUAAUUUCUUAAAAUGUAAAACAAGCACUUUUUCG